rnacentral:rRNA from 1 species
UACGUAGGGUGCGAGCGUUGUCCGGAAUUACUGGGCGUAAAGAGCUCGUAGGUGGUUUGUCGCGUUGUUCGUGAAAGCUCACAGCUCAACUGUGGGCGUGCGGGCGAUACGGGCAGACUAGAGUACUGCAGGGGAGACUGGAAUUCCGGGUGUAGCGGUGGAAUGCGUAGAGAUCCGGAAGAACACCGGUGGCGAAGGCGGCCUGCUGGGCAGUUGCUGACACUGAGGCGCGACAGCGUGGGGAGCAAACAGG